AGGAGUCGAAUUAAAAUAUAGAAAAAAUCGCAAAAGAUAAAAAUAAUUGACAAAGUGUUCUUUUGCACAAAACUAAUAGAACAGAGGAAAGGAAGUUGAAAUAUGAAUUGCCCUCCCCCACACAAAAAAGAGUCAGAAAAAACACCAAAACACGUCAUACAAAUAUUACUUAGUCACUAAGAAUAUUCUAAAUAGUACAGCUGUACAAAGUACAAGUGUUAACUGAACUUCAGAAGCAAAACAGACUUAUUGUCCUUCCCGUCCUUAUUAAGGCGUCGCUUAAGCGUAAGCAACACUUAAGCAUUAAGGCGUGAUUAGAAGGCAAGGCGUCCUGCUCGCCUUGCCCACGUACGUCGCCUUAGCAGCAAGGUGUGGCAAGGCAUCCUCGGGGUGUCGCCUUAGCUAUAGGAUAAGGUUUGGGGGGGAUAAUACCUGGACGAUUGGAAGUCCAUCCAACGUGAACAGUGAAAGGCUGGAGGUUGUGCGCGGCUGAGGUUCGCAGAACAGAAAUGGCGGCGCGCGGCGGCUCAGGCGCGCAGGGCACGGCGACGAGCAGCCCCGGCCCUGGCCCUUCCUCCCUUCUGCAGGCAUUCAGAUGGCGCGGCGCAGGCGCGUGGCACGCUCCUGCUCUGUCCAAGCUUCCCAGACGCAGGGUACUGGGUACUCCCUCCUCUACCCUCUUGUAUUCUCUGUUCUUCCAUUCCCUCCACUACUCUGAAUUCGUACGCUUGGGACUUAUUUUGCAGUUACUGCCUUGUCUUGCUCCAGUACUGCACUGCACAGCUUGAAAAUGGAGAGUGAAGGCUCUGUUGGUGCUCCGGUUGAUGUUGAUGCAUAUGACCCUAUGGCUGAUCCAAAGCGGAGAGCAAAGUCCAAUGAUCACGAAUGGAACUAUGGCUAUUGGACAGCAACUUGGAACCGAGAUAAGGUCGCAUGCAGUAUUUUCAAGACCGUGACAACUGGAGGGAUCAAAAGGUUGAAAGAACAUCUUGCAGGUAGUUUUGCGGACACAUUAAUGUGUUCUAAAACUACAACAGAGAUUAGAAAAAAAAAAGAAAGCAUAUUUGGACAAGAAUAAGAUAUGCAAGCCUAUUUUCCUUGAUGAUGAUGGUCAGGGGCAGCAGGAUACCAUUUCUGUUCAUCAACCUAGCUGGACAGCCUCUAAAAGGACGAGAGCUGCAUCUCAGUUUAGGGGAGCAGCUCCACAACCAUCCAACAUGGAAAAAGAAACAGAAAAAAUUGCAACCAUGCUUUGGAGAACUCCGGAACAAGUUGUGGAUGACAGGCGCUCAUCAGGGUCGCACCAAAGCACCAUAGAGGCUAGAAUGAAGCUAAAGGCUGACAGAGAUUAUGUGAAUGAGCAAUGGGCACUGUGGUUCUAUGAGUGUGGCAUUCCUUUUAAUGCCAUUAGUUCCCAGAAGUUUCAGAUUGCUUGUGAAGCUCCCGCACAAUAUGGUUCAGGUUAUGUGCCUCCUAGUUUCCAUGAUUUGAGGGAACCUUUACUUAAUUCGUGUGUGAAGAAGACAAGCAACAUGAGAGCUAAGCAUGAGAUAGUAUGGAGAAAUUAUGGCUGCACCCUGUUGUCUGAUGGGGACUGAUAGAAGGGGUCGUCACCUAUCAACUUCCUUGUUAACAGACCAGAAGGUACUUAUUUUAUGGAAUCUGUUGAUGCAUCAAAUGUACAACAUAAUGCAGAUAUGCUAGCUGAUUUGCUUGAGAGAAUUGGUAAGAUUGGAACUUUGGAAGAGAUAAGGUUGUUCAAGUAGUAACUGAUAAUGGUGCUAAACUGCUAAUUACAAGGCAGCAGGCGGGAUUUUAAUGGACCGGAAUACCUGAUUCCAACAUUAUUUUGGACUCCUUGUGCUGCACAUUGUUUGGAUCUCAUGUUGGAAGAUAUUGGAAAAUGGAAAGACUUCAAGAAGCCUACUGCACAAGCCAAAAGGGUCACCAGUUUUAUUUAUAGGCAUGGAAGAAUUUUAAGUGCAAUGAGGGAGAAGACAGGUGGGAUGGAUCUGGUGAGACCGGCAGCAACUUGAUUUGCCACAUGCUUCCUUACAUUGAAGCGCUUACACAAACAUCGAGAUGCCUUGAGAGCUCUCUUUGUGAGUGAUGCAUGGACCAACAACAAAUUAGCAAAGACAGAGGCAGGCAAGGGUGUGUAUGACAUUGUUCUAUUCAAGGUUUUUUGGUCCUCGGUUGAAGAUUGCCUUAGAGCUUCGGCGCCACUUCUUAUUGUGCUUAGAGCAGUACAUCGUGAUGAAAAACCAGCCAUGCAUAGAAGUUGCUGCACUAAUGAAUGUUGCAAAAGAGAAGAUAAGGCUUAGCUUUCCUACCCAAAACAAGCAGGCAUUGCUGAAAAAAUCAUGGACAUCAUUGAGCGUCGGUGGGUGACACAAAUGAACCAUCCAUUAUAUGGAGCUGCACUCUAUUUGAACCCGGAAAAGUUUUUUGCCAUCCAAAAGAAGGGGUAUGAUACAUAUGUUGAAGAGCUAAUGAGUUGUUUCAAUGAUGUGCUAGCAAGAAUGAAGCCUAAUGAAGAAUUUAGGUCCAUGAUUGAUGAAUAUGCCAUGCAUUAUGAAGACCAAAGAGGGCCUAUCUUUCCUAGCAAGUUAGUGCUCGAAAAUAUUCAAUCAAAAAGCCCUCGUAAAAACUAUAUAUGAUUGGUUGAUUGUUUUCUUAUUUCAGCAUAUGCAUUCCAUUAUUAAAUGUUGUUAUACAUUUGCAUUUGUAAUAGUUGAUCGGUGGUGUUCGUAUGGUGGUCGGGCAUAUGAACUACAAAGAUUUGUGAAGCGUGUGGUUAGCCUUUGUGCUUCAUCAUCCGGUUGUGAGAGGAAUUGGAGUACAUUUGAAUUAUGCAUACAAAGAAGAGAAAUCAGUUGUUACACAAGAAGUUGAAUGACUUGGUCUAUGUUUCAUACAAUUGGAAGAUGGAAAGUAGGUUCCAAAUGAGAAGGGAGAAAGCCGGCUCAAGUUAUGACUCGUUAGUUAUUAAAGACUUUGAUUGGGACAAUAAGUGGAUAGACCCAUCAGUGGUACAUCCGGGCAGGGAUAAUGAUGGUCUUAAUGAUUAAACAUGGGGUCAUGUUCAUGUUGCUGCUGGAGCAUCAAACUCACUUCGAGGGCGCAACCUUCCAACGCAAGCUAGGCAGACCAAACCUACACAAAGCAUGCAAGAAUGAGGACACAAGUUGAAGAAGAUGGAGAAGAAGCACAUGAUUCUACUGAUGAUGACAUUGAGCCUGAUCCACCAGAUGACAUAGAUGUGAGUGAUGUUGAUGAAGCUUUUGGUGGGGAAGAAGGCAGAGAAGACAAUGUUGAUCCCAUUGUUGAUAAGUCUGACAAUAGAUAUUGAGAGUUUGAGACUUCAUUGAGAUGAGAGUAUCAAAAACUACUUAUGUUGACUUUUAGCUUAUUAUGUUUGUUUAUGUUGAACUUGUAGAGUGCUAUUUGGUACUAUCCAACUUUUAUUUGGGACUAAUUCCCUAUAUUUUCUUAUUAUUUAUUUUUA